GAGAGAGAGAGAGAGAGAGCGAGAGGAGAGAGAGAGAGAUGAGAGAGAGAGAGAGAGAAGAGAGAGGCACCAGGAUUAUAUAUAAUAUAAUCCACUACUGCCGGACACACAUAGAGGGGGGACCGACGAUAGCAUCCGGAACAGUGGUGUAACUGCCAGUGCUGCCCCAGUGCUACCAGGAGACGGAAGAAUGUCUGGUUUCAGAGUGCUGUUGCUGCUGCUCUGCGUCUCUGGCUCCCAGCUCCCCUGGUGCGCUCGCAGUCCCCAUCGGGCCUUCUCACUUGUGUGGUCCUGAUCUGGCGGACGCCUUGUAUUUGAUCUGUGACAUAUCAUGGCUUCCAAAGAGGCGUGCGGAGGCCAGAGUUGUCCUGGAUCAUAGCAGAGGAAGACAAAAUUCACCAAUGAGCAUUUUUGAGAAGUGCUGUGGCUCAGCCUGUGAUAUUCAUGUCUUGCAGGAAUAUUGUGAAAACAUACAAUAGGUGUUGAUAUUUGGAUUAAUGCCAUAAUAAAUGCCAAUGCUAAACCUGCUAACUGUUGCUGAAAAGCAUUCAGAAUGUCACAUGAACCACAAAAUGUAGGGAUCUAAGUUGUAUUGAAACUAUCUUGCAGUGAUUCGUAGAUGUAACAUUCAGAGAAGGAUUUGUGGAGUUCUAUCCCGAUUGUGUGUUAUGAGUGUGAGAAGGAACAUAACAGAAUACUGUGAUUAAACAUAAUAGAAACCA